rnacentral:rRNA from 1 species
GACGUAGGGUGCAAGCGUUGUCCGGAAUUAUUGGGCGUAAAGAGUUCGUAGGCGGUUUAUCAAGUCUAGUGUUAAAGACUGGAGCUCAACUCCGGCAUGGCAUUGGAAACUGAUAGGCUAGAGUGUGGUAGAGGCAAGGGGAAUUCCUGGUGUAGCGGUGAAAUGCGCAGAUAUCAGGAGGAACACCGGUGGCGAAGGCGGUUCUCUGGGCAUUACCUGACGCUGAGGAGCGAAAGUGUGGGGAGCGAACAGG